rnacentral:rRNA from 1 species
UUAGUGGCGAACGGGUGAGUAACGCGUGAGCAACCUGCCUUAGACAAGGGGAUAGCCUCGGGAAACCGUGAUUAAUACCCUAUGAGACUCCGCCUACGAGUGUAGAAGAAGUUAAAGCAUUAGCGGUCUAAGAUGGGCUCGCGUCUGAUUAGCUAGUUGGUGAGAUAAAAGCCCACCAAGGCGACGAUCAGUAACCGGCUUGAGAGAGUGAACGGUCACAUUGGAACUGAGACACGGUCCAAACUCC